rnacentral:tRNA from 1 species
GUUUUUAUAGUUGAAUACAAUACUGGUUCUUCGGAUCAGGGGUUUUGGUUAAAAUCCAAAUAAGAAUU